GAUGAACGCUAGCGGCAGGCCUAAUACAUGCAAGUCGAGGGGCAGCGCGGUAGCAAUACUGGUGGCGACCGGCGCACGGGUGCGUAACACGUAUGCAACCUACCUUCAACUGGAGGAUAGCCCGGGGAAACUCGGAUUAAUACUCCAUAACACAGGGAUCCCGCAUGGGAAUAUUGUUAAAGCUACGGCGGUUGAAGAUGGGCAUGCGUUCGAUUAGCUAGUUGGUGUAGGUAACGGCUCACCAAGGCUACGAUCGAUAGGGGGUCUGAGAGGAUGAUCCCCCACACUGGUACUGAGAUACGGACCAGACUCCUACGGGAGGCAGCAGUAGGGAAUAUUGGUCAAUGGGCGCAAGCCUGAACCAGCCAUGCCGCGUGCAGGAAGAAGGCCCCUCUGGGGUUGUAAACUGCUUUUUGAUAGGGACAAAUGCCACUUGCGAGUGGAGCUGAGUGUACCUAUAGAAUAAGCACCGGCUAACUCCGUGCCCAGCAGCCGCGG
rnacentral:rRNA from 1 species